rnacentral:lncRNA from 1 species
ACAUGAAAAGCUGCGCAAGGAAUGACCCCCCCCCCCCCUUGGAUCGUCUUCUCCAAACGACCCCUCCCUCAUGAGAUUUCAUCACCUUCAAAACCAAAAAACCUAAACUCUAUUUCAACGUCAGCCACCAUUCAUGCCACCAGUCGACCACCAUGUAGCCUAGCGCCGCUGCUUGCCUCCAAAACGACCUCAUCUCCGCUAGCUACUCAACCAAAAAUCGCCGGAACACCAACCAAACAGACCCGUCUCCAGCCACCUUCACCAAGGCUCUCCAGAAACUGGCGACGGAAGUUUGUUUCGUCAAUGGAGUUCGUUUAAAGCUCGCGGAGAGUUCGUUUGAGUUUGUCGACUAAAUUUCAAGUCUGUCGUUCCAUUUGGUGUAACGUUCCUGUUGAGAUCGAGUCAUGUUACAGCACAUUCGUAGGUCAUCGGAUUUGUUCGUUAGGUCCGUUCAGUUCCGUUCGAGAUUCCGGUGAGGUUCCGGCGUUGCAACGUUUUCUGUUCGAGUUCGUGUUUGAUUGUCCGAGCUUCGAAACAGUAUUGUAAAGCUUAGUUUCCAAUGUUACGUUCGCUUUUCAGCCUCUGUUUUGGCGUUCAAGUUUCAUUGCAUUCCAGAUUUCCAUUUGAAGUUCGAGUCUGCCAAUAAGAACGUUUCCGAUCUUCAUUUGGUUUCGACUUUUGGCUUUCGAGUGUGGGAAUGGAGUUAAGUCGAGGUUGAUUCCGGUUCAACUAUCUGGCGAGGUUCGAUUUGAGACCGUUGUUCUUCGUUUCCGAUUUGAGGUUCGAGUUUCAAUUUUUUCAUAUAUAUGUUUUUGAGUCAAUUCAGUGUUUGAUUGCAUUUGGAUGUUAGAUGUUGUUGUUGUUCAUGUCAUAGUAGAAUGUUUGAAAUAUUUGCUUCCAUUUGUUCAUGUCAUUUGUUAAGUGUUUGAAAUAUUCUUCUCUAUUUUGGCGUGUAUGGUACUUAACUGUUUGUAUCUAAUUUGCAACGAAAUUUCCUAGUGUGAUUAGAAACCAAUCCGAUAGUAAACUAAUUAAGAAGAAAUAGCAGAAUUAGGGUUGUUGAUACAGUAGUAGGUAUAGGGGAAUCUUGUGGAUGAUUUGUUGAGAUGAGUCGUAGGGUUUGGGAUUGUUUGCUAGUUUUCUUUUCCUGCAACCAAAUCUAUAAUCCAUUUAGCAAAUUUCAUGGCCCUCGCAAAGUUGCAAAUGCGUAGCUACUUUAGGCGCGCUAUUUAAAAAUUACUUUCCUUAAAUUCGGGUGUGCAUUUCAUGUGACCCAAACCCAAAUCUUUAAACAUUGAAUAAAAUAUGUUUAGGAUUGCGGGUGCAUUUCAUGUGGCACGAUCCAAAAACGUGUUUUAAACGACGUUCAAUCUUCUUUAAAAAUUGAAUAAAAGCAGUUAAAAGUUAAAAUUUGCACAUAGGUUCAUAAUUGUUUAAAAUCAGAUAAUUAAGCUGAAUAUAACAGUUGAACGACCGUGCUAGAAUCACAGAACUCGGGAAUGCCUAAUACCUUCUCCCGGGUUAACAAAAUUCCUUACCCGGAUUUCUGUGUUCGCGGACUGUAAUACAGAGUCAAUCUUCUCCUCGAUUCGGGAUUUGAACCGGUGACUUGGGACACCAUAAAUUAUCCCAAGUGGCGACUCUGAAUCUUUUAAUAAUUAAUACCAUUUCGAUUGUCACUUUAAAUUGGAAAAAACUCCCUUAUACAUACUUCUUCCGGGGGGUGUAGAAAAAGGAGGUGUGACAAUGGUGAAAUAAGGGAGGCUUUUGUGUUGUACGGUGGGAUCGAAUUACGCGCCGCAACAACUUAUGUGUUCCAUUUCUUGAGCUAUGUUUGGUUUUAGGUAUUUUCAUUUGAAAUGCUAAGGAUUAGUAAUUCUGGACGACGUUGGUUCAUUUCUUGAGGUUGUAAUUAUUGUUCACAGUUGACUGUUAAAUAUUGUUUUGUAUUUCCAUUUUUUGUCAUUAUUAUAUACUGCAUACAGGUGGUAGUGUAGGUGACCCGCCUUAGUAUUUCCACUAUUUCGUCGAGGUUAGGCUCAACACUUAUAGAGUACAUGGGGUCGGUUGUACUCAUACUACACUCUGCAUUUAUUGUGCAGAUUUUGGAGUCGGUCCCAGCGACAGCUACUAGAGAGCUCGGAUUGGACAGCAUGCGGAGACUUGAGGUACAGCUGCUCAGUGCCUGCAGCUCCUGGAGUCCCCUUUCUUAUUUUUAUUUAGUUGUGUAUCUUCUUUUCUGAUAGCUUUAUGUUAUUUCAUACCCUUGUAUGUACUAUUCUAGUAGAUCGUGCACUUAUGACAACGGGUUCAGGGAUGUAUUAAAUUUAGCUUCCGCAUUAUUUACUUUGGAUUAUUGCAGUUAAAUUAGUUCUUCUCUUUUAAAUUGUUAACAAGGA